GUGAAUAUUCCAGCGCCGCUUUGGAGCAUCUGACGGGGAGGAAAGAAAGAGAUGAACCGGAGGCCCGGCCAGGGGCGGCUGCUGCCUAGCUAAGCUAGCUCCUCUUAUCCUCAUCAAGGGAAACUACCGGCCAGGCGCAGGCGGUCAGGCACGGCUCGACAACGUCGGCGUCAUCAGCUUACCUCUGAUCACUGGGAUGGAACUGGUCUGUUGCAGUGCAGUACUAGGUAUGAUCCGCCUGCGUUUUCGAGCUGCUAGCAGCCUGGCUCUGCUUGGGCGCGGACUGCCCUAGCUAGUACCCUAUGAGCUCAUCAGGGACAAGGGAUGGCUUAAGCCUAGCUGCGAGGGCAAGGUCAACGCUUCUGCUCGCACGCAUCAAUCGGCCGAGCGGUAUUCAGCGGCAUGCCGGCAUGGCCCCACUGCCCUGCCCCUGACCUGAGGCCCUCCUGAUCCAGCGAUUCUUCCAGUCUUCCUCCUUUUCCUUUCCUUUCGACCCCUCUCUUGUAAAAUCACACACGUACUUGCCAUUCACGCGUGCGCGCGUCUGAUCUCGAAUCUCAUCUGCUCCAGUCUCCGGAGCAUAUAUUCCAAAUCAAAAAUCGACCUGCAGCUGCAGUGCAAGGACAGUUAUUACAAGACGGCUCACGGACGCAAUGGCCGGCCGGACCAGAUCUUUCCCCGGCAGGCAAGUGCGUCCCCCGGCCAGACCCAGCGGGUAAAAAGCGUUGGAGGAAAAGAUCGAUCGAUCGUGCGCCUGAAGCAACCCGUCGCCGAUCUCGCCAAUGUACGGAUUUUAAAGUACAGUCAAAGUUUGGUUUCGCCCAGGACGGAGUUUCCAAUGGUUUGCCUGCAUGAUGCCUAGGGCUAAUAGGCUAUGGCGGCCUGUGCACGUCCAGUACCUUGUGCUCCCCCUCACACAUUCCCCUCCGUACUCCCUACCCGUGCGUGGGACACCGACGUAUCUGUCCGCGGCCGUGCGCCGUCGUCGACGCCGCACGCCGUAUCUUUCCCACGACCUCGCCGUGUCGGCCUCGCGCAGGUGGUGCAGCAUGCAGGGCACGGAUGGAACGGGAUGGACAGGACGGAGACCACUCAUCAUUCGUCACUCGCUCGCCCGGGAAAAGAAAGAAAGCAAGCGAGAAAGGUGGCAGCGGCGAAAGCUGCGGCCCUGCUUUCUUCGCAAUAGAAGACGCGGCGCGGGGAAAGGCAGCUCCAUGAUUGCCGUCAGCUGCCAGGGACGAUAGGAGACGGGACGAGAUGGAUGGAGGGGGAGAAGAAAAGGGGCCGGGUCCCGGCCGGCGGGCGGGGCGGCGGGCCGGGGCGGCAGCCAGCGGCGGCGACAGCUGCUAGUGCCUGCGGGCUGCUGAGAGAGACCCGGCCUCCGGCGCCCAGCGGCCAGUCCGGCCGACCUGGGGCUGUCAGCUUUGCCCUUUAUCCACAGGCUCAUGAGGGAAAGCGGGUUGACGAUUCCCCGGCUGCGAUCAUGCCGCCGCCUGACUAUGGCUGGCCGACGCCGCCCUGCUGGAAGAAAGAGGGAGAGCCGGAGAGGCGUUUCAAGGAAGACCAUCGAGGGCGGAUGACCUGCCCGUCACGUCAACUUUUUUUUUUCUCCUCUCCAAGCGAUAGGAGGUGAUGGCCAGCAGAUCAGAUCAGAUCAGCGGCGAAACGAUGGGUUUAUUACUGCCCAGUUGGACUCUCUGUAGGUAGCAAUAGCAUCCCAAGAUGGUAGCUAGAGUGUGAGAUGGUCCUAAAGCUUGUGCACGAAAAGAAGAUGGCCAAGGGGGCUAGUGGCCUUGUACCUAGUCGUAGCUCUUAGUAGCUAGGAACUCUUGUGUAUGUACCGUGUCCCAUUGU